UUGGGGUAAAGAUGCCCCCAUCCUCUUCCUUCUCUUCGUAGCUGCUCAUCUGGUAAUUAUGCCUUGUCGAAUUCGUCCCAUUUGUUCUUUUGUUGUGAGUUGUUCCUUUAAAUGCAUGUUGUUUGAAUUCAAAUUCUUGUAAACCACUUCUUUCUCUAUUGAAUUGUAUGUACUGCUGUGUUGUUGAUUUUCUCUGCACUUGAGGUUGGCCGGUGUUAUUGUGGUCGUGUUCCUCACCACCAGCUGGCUCUGAGCUUCUUUCUCCUGUUCCUCAUCUUGCACUCCUUCCUCUUCAUUUGUCAACAACUCAAAAGCAUUUUGAGUUUGUAUCAUAUUAUUAGCUUCUUAUGCUAAGGAGAAAACCGCCUCUCGCGCAAAGAAAUUUGGUGGCAGUUCCGGGAAACUUAUCCAGGCCAGAGCAACAGAAGUUUCUUCAUUUGGUUUGAACCAUGGGUUCCAAAUCAUCGGUCUCAUUUGACAAUAUCUAUUAUUCAUUGAAAUGUAAUAAGCAGGGGUAGAAAGUAUUUUGAUGUAAUCUUCCAAUAAUGAAAAUCUCAUCAAAAUGUGUCUAUCUUCAGUAAGGCCACUUUCACACUUACCUUUAAUUCCACAUUGUU